GAUGAAGAACGUAUCGAAAUGCGAUACGUAAUGUGAAUUGCAGAAUUCAGUGAAUCAUCGAGUCUUUGAACGCACAUUGCGCCCCCUGGUAUUCCGGGGGGCAUGCCUGUCCGAGCGUCAUUGCUGCCCUCAAGCACGGCUUGUGUGUUGGGCCUCCGUCCUCCUCUCGGGGGACGGGCCCGAAAGGCAGCGGCGGCACCGCGUCCGGUCCUCGAGCGUAUGGGGCUUCGUCACCCGCUCUUGUAGGCCCGGCCGGCGCUUGCCGACACAUCAAUCUUUUUUCCAGGUUGACCUCGGAUCAGGUAGGGAUACCCGCUGAACUUAAGCAUAUCAAUAAGCGGAGGA
rnacentral:misc_RNA from 1 species